GGUACUUGUACCGACUGGUAUGAGCAGCGAACGGGUGAGUAACGCGUGUGGAAUCUGCCUUUGAGCGGGGGACUACAUUUGGAAACGAAUGCUAAUACCGCAUAAAAACUUUAAACACAAGUUUUAAGUUUGAAAGAUGCUCUUGCAUCACUCUGAGAUGAUCCCGCGUUGUAUUAGCUAGUUGGUGAGGUAUCGGCUCACCAACGAGAUGAUACAUAGCCGACCUGAUAGGGUGAUCGGCCACAUUGGGACUGAGACACGGACCCAAACUCCUACGGGAGGCAGCAGAAAGGAAUCUUCGGCAAUGGACGAAAGUCUGACCGAGCAACGCCGCGUGAGUGAAGAAGGUUUUCGGAUCGUAAAACUCUGUUGGUAGAGAAGAACGUUGGUGAGAGUGGAAAGCUCAUCAAGUGACGGUAACUACCCACAAAGGGACUGCUAACUACGUGCCAGCAGCCGCGGUAAUACGUAGGUCCCGAGCGUUGUCCGGAUUUAUUGGGCGUAAAGCGAGCGCAGGUGGUUUAUUAAGUCUGGUGUAAAAGGCACUGGCUCAACCAUUGUAUGCAUUGGAAACUGGUAGACUUGAGUGCAGGAGAGGAGAGUGGAAUGUCCAUGUGGU
rnacentral:rRNA from 1 species